UCUCAGGGAAAAACCAAAGGAAGAGGAUUGGUCAUGGAAGACUGUGCACCAAAAUGAUUGAAAUGCCAACAUCUACGUUAGAAGAAAUGCCACAAUCAUUUUCUGCAAUCACAUUAAGUAACACAGAGAUGAAUAAUAUUAAGACUAAUGCACAGAGAAACAAACUUCCAAUAGAGGAACUUGGUAAAGUUUCUAAACAUAAAAUGGCCACUAAAAGAACACCACAUAAAGAAGAUGAGGCAAUGAGCUGUUCUGAAAAUUGUUCGGGUGCCCAGGGCGAGUCAUUUCAGGAUGAGUCUCAAGGAUCUCAUUCUGAGUCCAGCUCUAAUCCCUCCAAUCCUGAAACUUUGUAUGCAAAGGCAACUGAUUCAGUUCUACAAGGUUCUGAAGGAAACAAGGUCAAGAGGACAUCCUGCAUGUAUGGGGCAAACUGCUAUAGGAAGAAUCCUGUUCAUUUUCAACAUUUUAGCCAUCCUGGUGAUAGUGAUUAUGAAGGUGUACAAAUCGUGGGCCAAGAUGAGACUGAUGACCGGCCUGAAUGUCCCUAUGGACCAUCCUGUUAUAGGAAGAAUCCCCAGCACAAGAUAGAAUAUAGACAUAGUACACUUCCAGAGGCUGAUUCAGCACAUAAUAUUUCUGCUCACAGAGUGAGAAAAUAAAAUGCAUACUAUCAAGGCUGCGCUCACUUGCAUUUAUAUGUGUAUACAAACAGCUGACUUGUAAUCAAUGAGAAAUGUUUUAGAUGAAGAUAACGAUAAUGUUGGGCAACCCAAUGAAUAUGACCUGAACGACAGCUUUCUAGAUGAUGAGGAAGAAGACUAUGAGCCAACAGAUGAAGAUUCUGACUGGGAACCAGGAAAGGAAGAUGAAGGGAAGGAAGAUGUGGAAGAGCUUUUGAAAGAAGCAAAAAGCAAAUAAUUUUCCGCAUCUUCACUCUUCAUCUUCUCACCCUCUUCUGGACAACUCCUGACAUUCUGUGAUAUUCAGCAUUCACCAUAAACAUUGCAUGAUUCAGUUCUCCUUGAUAUCUUGGUGCUUGGACUCUUCACUGUUGGCAUCAUUAGGUCAGCAGGUGAACACUCAGGAUUGUCUCUCUUCUGUUAGUAGAGCACCAAAAGACAGGGUCUGGCUCUGUCACGUAAGCCAGAGUGCAAUGGUACAAUCACCAUUGACUGCAGUCUCAAAUUCCUGGGUUCAAGCAAUCCUCCUGCCUCAGGUUCCCAAGCAGCUGGGACUACAGGCAUGUACCACCAUGCCCAGGGAAUGGUGUCUGGACCCAGAGAAUAACUGGAUCUUCAAGGAAGGAAGAGAAAUCUUUAGAAGAACGUGGAUUCUCCCCACUGGUAGUUAGUUGUCUCUUCCAUAUCCAGAAAUAACCUGAACAGGGCCACUGUGCGUAGUAUCCUCCCAGGAAAACGCCAAGAUUCUCCAAGACACUUUCGUAUCCUAAGCCCUGUUCUGUUUGUUCUUAUGUAGUAAAUUGGCAAAUUUGGCAGUACAGAAGACAUCUCUAACCUGAUGUCACAAAGAAUCA
rnacentral:sRNA from 1 species